AGCCUGGGGAGGGGUACAGAGCUGAAUCCCCAAGGACUUGUGAGAACCAGUUGACAGGGCUCCUCAUGUGCAACCUGGGAGACAAGUUGGGAACAGGGGGGCCUGAAGUGGUCAGAACACAGCAUGGUGCAGCUGCUUGUGGGGGGGUCUUGCCUGUCGGGGGCUGGCAGUGGUGGGUGGGUGCACUUAGGAGCACGGAAGGUGGCAAGCUGUGUCCUGGGUGUGCGGGGUGACCUGGCCAAAGGGCCACAGCAGUCACCUGGGUAGAGACAGUAAGAGCCUGAAUUGAGCCUGAACCUGGGCUUGGGGUGGUGGGAAGAUAGAUGUGAGGGUUGAAGGAGGGGAACCCCAGUUUCUGGCUUGGAUAGUUGGAUGGAUAACAAUGCCCAACCCUUAUGGGUUCCUCAUGACAGGGUGACCUCUGACUGCUGUGGGCAGAGGGCAGGGAUCCAACAUAGAGGGUGACAUGGGAGGGACAGAGGUAGGCGGGUGUCGGGAGCAGCAUCCUGGAGAAUCAGAGCCCUAUCCCACAAAAUGCCACAAAAAUGGGGCUUCUCUGCACCUAGGCCUUUUACCUCAUUGACCCAGCAGUUCAAGGUCACCAGAAUAGGGACCGAUGAGCACAGAGGGUCCGGCAGACCCAGGCUUCAAGGAGCAUGUCUGCAGGCCUCUCUCCUGGGCCCCCAUGGUGCACAGGCGGAUGGUGUGUCCCGGGGCAACGCAGAAGGAUGUGCGGGUCUGGGUGUUUCCCCCCUCUAACCCCCCAUGAAGUGGGUGCUGGCUCCCUGUGCCUCAGGUGCUGCCCACGGAGUUCUCCUGCAGCUGGGUGGGUAUGCCCCUCGGCACCAGAGAGUUUCCUUUGUCCACAAGCUCUGGGCCACCUGAGAGGGGGGAAGUCCCCCCGUUUUCUGUCCACCAGGGGAUAAUUCUGAGGCAUACUCAGCCCAUAGGUCAAAAGGAUCCAGUGAGGCUGAGCUCCAGGGGUCCACACGGCCACCCUCUUAGCAGGGGUGCUUCUGGGGCUUUUCUUGCUCUCCGUUCCACUUGCCCAUCCCUCAAUGUCCUCACUGCGGUCAUCUCCCAAACAAACCCCCUGCCCUGAGCCCUAUGCCCAGGACCACUUCGGAGGGAACCCACAUCUCAAGCAGGGGGACAGAUGCAGCAAAUACCGGCACCAGCCCCUGGCAGUCCUGUCCAGACCUGGGACUUGGCCCUUCGGCCCCCUCCACAGCACUCAGAGGUGGAGGUGCCAUUGCUGUGAAGACUCAUCUCUGCAAUCGGCUCACCUCAUUGACGGGCUGCACGCUCUACAGUGAAAACGAAUGACAAGCCUCAGUGGUCACCAGCAGUUCAGUGAGAGAGUGGAGGACGCCACCACAUCAGGAUGACCUGCCUGCAGUUCCCAUUCCUAGGUGACCCCGAGGCUGCUGGUCCAAGACCCACACCACACCCCUGGGCCACUGGCUCUGAGGAUCAUCUGUGUUCCAGAUACUCAGAAGUCCUCACCCCCAGGACCUGCCAAUGUGAUCUUAUUUGGAAAUUGGGCCGCUGUAGCUGUAAUCAAGUUAAGAUGAGGUCACACUUGGUUACCCUCAUCCAGUGACCAGUGUCCUUAUGAGAGGAGGACACAGACACGGACGGGGGCAGAAGGCCAUGUAAAGAUGGAGGCAGAGAUUGGAGUGCUGUGGUUUUAUGUCAAGGAACUCUAAGGCUUGCCAAGAAGUGCCGGAAGCUAGGGGACCGGCAUGGAGCAGCUUCUUCCCCGGAGCUACAGGAGGAACCACAUUUGGACACUCUGAUCUCAGACUUCCUGCCUCCAGGACUGUGAGGCAACGUUUCUGCUGUUCCUUGCCACCCAGUUCAUGAUGCUGUGCUGCCUCAGGCCUGGGAGCGAAUCCGUCACCACGUCCCUAUUUCUGGCGUUCAGUAUCCAGGGGUACCAGGUUAAACAGCACAGAUAAGGAACACUUCCGCUUUGCAGACCAUUCGAUUGGACAGUGCACCACGGCAUGCAUUUUAUAAGAAAGAAGCAAAGAUCAACAGAUUUUCAGAAACAGUCGUGGGGUAGCCCGAUCUCAUCUUCCACAGUCUUCAUAUCAUUGCUCUCGGUCCCUCAUCAUCAAAGGGAAACCAAAUGGUCCUUGAACAUUGUCCCUAACAAGGGGAGCCGACUCUGACAUUUAGGCCAGCAUUCUCAUCGUGUGUAUAGGAGGUAGCCGACGGGGUGGGUCCACCCUGAACCUGAGACACCGAUCCACAGAAUGAGGCUGCUCCAGCAUCCUGGCGGGGGUUGGCACCCAUCUGCUCGCCUUCCUUAUCUUUUAUGCAUGCUCAUCUUCCUUCCCCAUCUGCUAGGGCACCGCCACAUCCAUUCUGUGCACAGGCAAACGCGACUUUGAAGUUUGACACUCACUUGUUAAUAAUUCAUUCCUUGGGUGGAGGCAUCUGUAGGCCCAGAGUCCCAAGUUACAACGCUCUCAGGAGAAAGCCCUCCCUCAUAUUGGUAGAUAAUAAGACCUGAGCAUGAAUUAAUUAUCAGAGUGAAGUCCCAGGGGACUCAGAAGCCUCGGUGGCUAAGUUUUGACUGGGGGAGUCGGGGGAUGGAAUAAGGGGAGGGCCAGAGCCCGCAGGGCCUGAUGCCAGGAGCUGGGGUGACAUCUGGAGACCUCAAAGCCAAGGGAAUGCUGAAGUGCUGAGGCACAGCUGGUCCCCGCUCACCUCUCCAGGGGCCAUUUCCUCUCUCCAUCCCAGCUCCAAGCAGCACACCAGCCCGCCACCUCCCUUCUGGCCACCCACGUCAUCUGGUUUGAGUGCCAUCACACUGCUUUGACUUACUCAUCAGUGGGUGCCAGAGGCAACGAAGGAAAAAGGAAAAGGGGGCCCCCUCUGCUCUGGGCCUUCUGCUUGCAAAGAGGCUUUGGCUGCUCCGAGCAAGAAAGCCUGCUCUCAGGGCCCUCUGGCUGCUUCUCAAUGUGUUUGCAACUUACUUCACCAACGGGCAGUUCUCCCUCUCUCCCCCAGUGUCUUGUCUGGAUGGCAGGGAUUCUUCUCCUCCCUGUGGCUACAGGCCUGGCAGCCGCUCACACCCCUCAGUUAUAGCCAUAGAAAUUUACCCAGAGAACUUCCCUCCUCCCAUGGUGUCUUGUUGCUUAUUUUUAACAUGUUUAAUCAGAGUGUUCACACAGAAAAGCACACAGAUUGUGAGUGAGAGCAUCGUGGAAAGGGACAUUGCUGCCCACCACAAGCCCCCUUCAGGCUUCCUGCUGUGCACAAACCAUCUCCCCUAACGCCACGGCCACUGUGAUUCUAACUCCGCACGUGGGUUUUGUAUUUUAUUCACACGGAACCAUACUGUUUGUAUGCUGUGACAUCCAGCCUCUCUUGCUUAAUAUUGUGAGAUUCAGCACUACCACAGCACAUCGCCGGAGACAGUUUAUUCAUGUUGUCAUAGAAUAGCCCAUCACACACAUUUACUGCUGAGUCUUGAUCGUUUCUGCUGCUACAGGCAGUCAUUUCCACUUUGGGGUUAUUAUAGAAUGUGCUAGAACAUCUCAUACAUGUGUUCACAAAAACUGCUGCUUGCUGGGGCUAGGGUUGUGGCUCAGUGGUACAGCACUUGCCUCACAUGCAUGAAGCAUGGGAUUUGAUCCUCAGCACACAUGAAAAUGAAUAAAUUAAAUAAAGAU